rnacentral:lncRNA from 1 species
UGUCACCACCUACCUGCUUUAUCUCUUUGUCACAUUUUCAUCUCUUUCUACUUCAACUUUCCUUUGAUUCAUCCCCAAAAGCUUUCCCCUAGGCCACUUGGCAGUAUUCCCUCACUAGUCAAAAUCUGGUGGGUCUUUCUUGAGUGAGCUCUCAGAGCUGACCUCCUUUUUUAAGACAUCUAUUUGCAUGCAGGUGGCCAUCGAUGACAUCAAUGGUUUUGCAGUAUUGAGCCACAUUUUGGAUUUUACCUAGAAGAUGUGCAGAAUAUAAAUGUUUUCAUGAGAACAAAAUAUACAGCUGGAUGUUUGUCACAAUUCUAAUGUCCCUGCAAAGAUGAGAUGCAUGAAUCACACAGCAAUCUCAUCAAAAAGAUGAUGAAACUGUGGCCCAGAAAGUUUAAGGGAUGUGUCAAAUGUCACACAGCUCACAGAUCCAGGGACAUGGCUUAAAUCCAGAUAUCUUGAUUCUAACUUCAGUUGAGGAAGAGAAAGAGUGCUGCCCCACGCUGCCUGAUUUACAACGUGAAGUGAAAUCUUUGAAAAGAAAAAUAAGACAAUGUCACUCAAGCUCUUAUCUGAGGAUUUCCUGGGUUUGAAGACAGAGCUCAAACUCAUACAAGGGGUCAUCUGAGUCUGCAGAUAGGCUUGCUUUAUGCUGCUCCGUCAGAUCUCUUCUAAAGAUUAGUGCGCAAUUCUGGACAUUACAUUUUAAUGGUAACAUGGAUUCAACUAAAGGCCGCAGCAACUUUGCUUUGUACACUCUGUCUCCUGCCAAGAGAGCCCAGGGAAGGGCACAGUGAAUACCAAAAGAAGAAUAAGACGGAGAGCUAUUCCUCAGUGAAGCAGAGUUUACAACCCUUGUUCAUUUUGGCCAAAGGCCAGCUGACUCUAGUUUACCUAACUUUUAGAGAGUUUCAGAAAAAAAAAUGGAAGUAAUAUCCUGCCUUUGAGUAUGGAGACAAAAUUCUAAUAUCAUAAGAGAGUUAUCAGAGGUUAAGGCAGUUAGAAGGGUUCAUUCAUUCAACAUUCAACACAAACUGUGAACACCUAACAUUUGCCAUGUACAAAGAAGGACGUUCUGCCUUGGACUAACAUCCAUUCCUGUGAGGGAAGAGAAGCAGCAGCCCCCGAGCACUGCCAGCUGCUGCUGCUGCGAUCCCAGUGUCUGAGUUUGUGACUCGCCGGGAGAUUGUCUGUUCCUGCUGCUUCCAAUAUCGUCUUGGCCUUUAUGAAGGCACAUGCACACGACUGUAGCGGCACCCCUGUCUCCGGCCCAUUGUGGACAUGACUGCUCUUCCAGUGUGGCUCCCCUGUGACAGGCACCUGCUCAGCAACCUACAGAAGCUCCCCCAGAUAAGAAAAUUGAGACUCAGAGCAUUUAAGCAGCCAGCCUGGAGUCACAGAGAUUUAAGUCUCAGAGCCAGCACUCAGGAUGAGUGCCAAUGGAAGCCUGUCCUUGGAGUCCAGAAUGAACGUCAGAAGCAACCCAGCCACAGCAGGAGACUGUCCAUGAAUGUCAUCUGGCUGAACCUAAAGGCAAGACCUUUUUAACUUAUCUCAUUCAAGCUUAUUCUUCGUACUCUUUCACUAAUUCCAAUUAAGAAUAUUUCAUGCUCAUGAUAGGAUUUGCCAUUUUUCCCACUUGCCAAGUCCCUGAUUAUUCAUCAUCAUCACCAGCAACAACAGCAGCAGCAGCAGCAGCAGAAAUAGAGAAUUACUUGUUC